CAAUAGCGUAUAUUUAAGUUGUUGCAGUUAAAAAGCUCGUAGUUGGAUUUCGGGUGGGACGCAGCGGUCUCGCAUUGCGUUUGUACUGCUGCAGCCCUCCUUCUUGCCGGGGGCGGCCUCUCGGACUUCACUGUCUGGGGGUCAGAAUCGGCGAUGUUACUUUGAGUAAAUUAGAGUGUUCAAAGCAAGCUUACGCUCUGAAUAUAAUAGCAUGGGAUAACACGACAGGACUCUGGCCUAUCGUGUUGGUCUAUAGGACCAGAGUAAUGAUUAAGAGGGACAGUCGGGGGCAUUCGUAUUCCGUUGUCAGAGGUGAAAUUCUUGGAUUUACGGAAGACGAACAUCUGCGAAAGCAUUUGCCAAGGAUGUCUNCAUUG
rnacentral:rRNA from 1 species